AGGUACAGACGGUGUGGAGUCGGACCGGUCUGGGAUCAUGCUACCAUUCCACAGUACACCACUAGGUGGCAGGAGAGGGAGCAGCAAGCCCUACUCCUGCUCAGAUGGACCAGUGAAACCCCAGAGCAGAAAACACUUGAAUACAGCAUCAGAGGAGAACCGUUCUCUGGAGACCUCCAAUCUCACCCAUCCCAGUCCUCCAGCACUCUGGCACUCAUACAAGAACUUCAGCUACAGAUCUCCACCACCACCAGGUGACAUGGAGAAUGUCUACUCUAAGGGCAGGUAUCCUCUCUCCUCUCAGCCUCUACAGAAGCCUCUGUUGCAAGUCAACUAUGGCUCCUCCUGCAGUUUACCUGCAGGUUUCAAAGUGCGAGAGCAGCAGUCUGUCUCCCACCACCGGAGGCGCUCUACCCAGUCAGACUCAGCACUGCUGCCCAGCAACGUGUACUUUCAGCAGACCUUUCCCCCAGCUCUCAGCCCCCCCAGGACUGGGGUCAUAGCCAGCAGGCACAAAGCCAGCAGGGAUGAGGACAUCAACAGGACAUUGGACAGGGCUAUCGAGGCAGCCCGCAUUAUGAAGAGGACCACUGAUAGGAUGGCCAAGAGCCUGUCAGCUGACCUUGCCAAGGUUGAGCUGUACAGGAAGUUACACAGCCUUCACCCAUUGACAGGGAGGAACAAUACUGGCUCAUAACACUCUAAUUGACACACUGGAGAUACUGCUGCUACUAUAGGGCUGGUCCAGGAUUGGCUAACCAGUGAAUUCAGCAGGGAUUAUUUUGUAUACAGGUGAAGUCGGGAAGUUUACAUACACCUUAGCCAAAUACAUUUAAACUCAGUUUUUCACAAUUCCUGACAUUUAGUCCUAGUAAAAAAUUCCCUGUUUUAGGUCAGUUAGGAUCACUACUUUAUUUUAAGAAUGUGAAAUGUCAGAAUAAUAGUAGAGAGAAUUCCUAGUGGGUCAGAAGUUUACAUACACUCAAUUAGUAUUUGAUAGGAUUGCCUUUAAAUUGUUUAACUUGGGUCAAAUGUUUCGGGCAGCCUUCCACAAGCUUCCCACUAUAAGUUGGGUGAAUUUUGGCCCAUUCCUCCUGACAGAGCUGGUGUAACUGAGUCAGGUUUGAAGCCCUCCUUGCUCACACAUGCUUUUUCAGUUCUGCCCACACAUUUUCUAUAGGAUUGAGGUCAGGGCUUUGUGAUGGUCACUCCAAUACCUUGACUUUGUUGUCCUUAAGCCAUUUUGCCACAACUUUGGAAGUAUGCUUGGGGUCAUUGUCCAUUUGGAAGACCCAUUUGCGACCAAACUUGAACUUUCUCACUAAUGUCUUGAGAUGUUGCUUCAAUAUAUCCACAGAAUGUUCCCCCUCAUGAUGCCAUCUAUUUUGUGAAGUGCACCAGUCCCUUCUGCAGCAAAGCACCCCCACAACAUGAUGCUGGAACCUCCGUGCUUUAAGGUUGGGAUGUUCUUCGGCUUGCAAGCCUCCCCCUUUUUCCUCCAAACAUAACGAUGGUCAUUAUGGCCAAACAGUUCUAUUUUUGUUUCAUCAGACCAGAGGACAUUUCUCCAGAAAGUACGAUCUUUGUCCCAAUGUGUAGUUGCAAACUGUAGUCUGGCUUUUUUAUGCUGGUUUUGGAGAAGUGGCUUCUUCCUUGCUGAGCGGCCUUUCAGGUUAUGUCGAUAUAGGACUCGUUUUAUUGUGGAUAUAGAUACUUUUGUACCUGUUUCCUCCAGCAUCUUCACAGGGUCCUUUGCUGCUGUUCUGGAAUUGAUUUGCACUUUUCACACCAAAGUAUGUUCAUUUCUAGGAGACUGAACUCGCCUUUCCUGAACGGUAUGACGGCUGCGUGGUCCCAUGGUGUUUAUACUUGCGCACUAUUGUUUGUACAGAUUAACGUGGUACCUUCAGGCAUUUGGAAAUUGCUCCCAAGGAUGAACCAGACUUGUGGAGGUCUACCAUUUUUUUCUGAGGUCUUGACUGAUUUCUUUUGAUUUUCCCAUGAUGUCAAGCAAAGAGGCACUGAGCUUGAAGGUAGACCUUGAAAUACAUCCACAGGUACACCUCCAAUUGACUCAAAUGUUGUCAAUUAGCCUAUCAGAAGCUUCUAAAGCCAUGACAUCAUUUUCUGGAAUUUUCCAAACUGUUUAAAGGCACAGUCAACUUAGUGUAUGUAAACUUCUGACCCACUGGAAUUGUGAUACAGUGAAUUAUAAGUUAAAUAAUCUCUCUGUCAACAAUUGUUGGAAAAAUUACUGUCAUGUCAUUGUGUCAUGCACAAAGUAGAUGUCCUAACCAUCUUUCCAAAACUAUAGUUUGUUGACAAGACAUUUGUGGAGUGUUUGAAAAAUGAGUUUUAGUGAUUCCAACCUAAGUAUAUGUAAACUUCUGAAUUCAACUGUAUAUUUUAAUAAUACUAUAACACUAAGUCAUGGAUUAGCGCUGUGGCAACUUCCAACCCAAAGCUAAACAUUAUUAAACCUUCAGUUUACAAUUAGAAAAACCUUUGAAUGUGUUUUUGGAAAAUGGAUGUAUUUGAGAAAUUUGACUGAAUCUGAUCAUUUAUUUUUGAAUUACAUUAUUUAUAACCAUUUGGUCUCAUUAGUUAUUUUGUAAAUGUCAUAUUAUUGAAAAGAUAAAAAUUUGAUGUUGCAAAAUGUCCCCCCUUAUUCGAGAGGCCUGUGUGUGUUAAGAUGAACACAAGAAGGGGCAGCAGCGCUGUUCAUAGUGGGCUACUGUAAUUGACUAAACAUGUAACCUUUGCCUUGGUAACAACAGCUGCC
ensembl:lncRNA